AUGGAUUUCUGUGCGGCCGUCUUAGUACUCCCGAAGAGACUGAAAGUUUUUCUUAGAUUUGGGAGUGUCAGAGAUCUAAAUCUGCUUAUGAUAUUGUCAUCACGAUUGUCAUGCGCUCAACUGAUGUGUUUGUUUAGAUUUCGUGAAUGGCAAAUGAAGGCGCCGAUGAUACGAUGAGCAUGAUUGGCUGACGAUCGAUUUUCCGAAUUCACAAAAUCGGAACAUUCCCCAGCAAGCAUGUUUAAAUGGUGAAUUAACAGGUGGUGACUUGCACCGAGAAGGACCAUAGACCCUGGGACCCAUACCAGAUAGGACUGAGAGAGUAUAUUGAACGUAUACAGAGAAGGGCAGCACAAUGGUCACAGGUUUGUUUAACCCAUGGGAGCGUGUCACAAAGAUACUGAAGGAACUGAUCUGGAAGACUCGUCAAGAUAGAUGUAAACUCUACUGAGAAAGUCUACUGACAAAGCUUAAAGAAGCAGCUAUAAGGGGCGGAUGUAAUAGAAAAUGUAAACAUUUAUUUA